AUACGGAGGGUGCAAGCGUUAUCCGGAUUUAUUGGGUUUAAAGGGUGCGUAGGCGGAAAUAUAAGUCAGUGGUGAAAUCUUGCAGCUUAACUGUAAAACUGCCAUUGAUACUGUGUUUCUUGAGUAUAGUUGAGGUAGGCGGAAUGUGUAAUGUAGCGGUGAAAUGCUUAGAUAUUACACAGAACACCGAUUGCGUAGGCAGCUUACUAAACUAUAACUGACGCUGAGGCACGAAAGCGCGGGGAGCGAACAGGAUUAGAAACCCCGGUAGUCC
rnacentral:rRNA from 1 species